rnacentral:lncRNA from 1 species
AGGAGAGAAGCUCAGCAUCACAGCUCUGAUGUUUUCAAGCUGGAGCAUGUUGGGAGAAGAAAAAGGUGCCAGGUUCUUCAUCAGUUCUUCAAAAAGGAGCCAGAUAUUUUUAGGUGACAGAAAAUAGAACAGUUUUGUGGAGAAUGAAUCAGCUGAAGGAACACUGGUUAUUUCCAUGGUCAGCAAAUGGCUUUGAAUCAAUUUGUAAUGCUGCAUCCAAGACAUGUAAUAUCACCUGCAAAACUCCCAUGUGUGACUGAAGCAACCUGGUAUGGAAAUCAACAACACCUGUGCUGGAUGAAGCUUGGCCUGUGACUGGAACGUUUAGGAAAGCACAUGUAAGAAGUGAGCACAGCAGACUGUGUAAGGAGCAGACAUAUAUAGGACAACCUUUCAUAAUCACCAGGCAUAUUCAUAAUAAUAAACACUCAUUGACCA